rnacentral:rRNA from 1 species
CAGCCGCCGCGGUAAUACGUAGGGUGCGAGCGUUAAUCGGAAUUACUGGGCGUAAAGCGUGCGCAGGCGGUUCGUUAAGACAGAUGUGAAAUCCCCGGGCUUAACCUGGGAACUGCAUUUGUGACUGACGGGCUAGAGUAUGGCAGAGGGGGGUAGAAUUCCACGUGUAGCAGUGAAAUGCGUAGAGAUGUGGAGGAAUACCGAUGGCGAAGGCAGCCCCCUGGGCCAAUACUGACGCUCAUGCACGAAAGCGUGGGGAGCAAACAGGAUUAGAUACCCGCGUAGUCCCUGUCUCUUAUAA